AGAAGUUGUCAGUCUUGAACUUUUUCCAUCUCUCUGUGUAAGAGCGAAAAAAAUUAUUGUUAGCCCGACGGAGAGAAACAAGAUCAUAUUGGGCCACCUUCUUGGAAACAGGGUUUUCAUCAAAGUGGUGGAAGAAGGGGUUCUUGGAAGUUGAACCCACAUCUCCCCGGUACUCAUACAAGUACUGUGAGAACACGAAGGUUAUCCAAUACCUCUUUCUCAAAAAACAGUCAAC
rnacentral:lncRNA from 1 species